CUCUACUGAAGAUAGUCACAAUGAAGUUUGUGAUCUUGGCUUUGUUUGUCGCUGGUGCUUACGGUUGUGGUCUGCCCACCUUCACCCCCACCAUCACCAGGGUGGUUGGUGGAGAUGAUGUCCGUGAGCACAGCUGGCCCUGGCAGGUGUCUCUGCAGUACAAGAGUGGCAGCAGCUUCUACCACACUUGUGGUGGCACUCUGAUCUCCAGAGAAUGGGUCCUCACUGCUGCUCACUG